rnacentral:rRNA from 1 species
CAGUCGCCACGGGAAAACGAAGGGGGCUAGCGUCGUUCGGAAUUACUGGGCGUAAAGGGCGCGUAGGCGGCCAUUCAAGUUAGAUGUGAAAGCCCUGGGCUCAACCUAGGAAUUGCAUUUGAUACUGUUUGGCUUGAGUUCGGGAGAGGUGAGUGGAAUUCCCAGUGUAGAGGUGAAAUUCGUAGAUAUUGGGAAGAACACCAGUGGCGAAGGCGGCUUACUGGCUCAUACUGGACGCUGAGGUGCGAAAGCGUGGGGAGCAAACAGUAUUAGAUACCCCUGUAGUCCCUGUCUCUUAUAU